UACGUAGGGGGCGAGCGUUGUCCGGAUUUAUUGGGCGUAAAGAGCUCGUAGGCGGCUUGGCAAGUCGGGUGUGAAACCUCCAGGCUCAACCUGGAGACGCCACUCGAUACUGCUAUGGCUAGAGUCCGGUAGGGGACCACGGAAUUCCUGGUGUAGCGGUGAAAUGCGCAGAUAUCAGGAGGAACACCGGUGGCGAAGGCGGUGGUCUGGGCCGGCACUGACGCUGAGGUACGAAAGCGUGGGGAGCAAACAGG
rnacentral:rRNA from 1 species